UCCAACUAUUAUCAUCCUAGAAGAAUGCAUAAUCCUAACGUCAUUUGCUAUUAUUGCAAUCGAAUAGGACAUAUUGCUCCUGCUUGUUUUACUAGAGACAGACACUUCACUACAUGUCAAUCACACCACCAUUUUGCACCUAACAAACAAGGACCCAAAACAGCUUGGGUACCAAAAACUCAUUAAUUUGUCUUGUAGGUGUGUUUGAA
rnacentral:lncRNA from 1 species